rnacentral:rRNA from 1 species
GACGAACGCUGGCGGCGUGCUUAACACAUGCAAGUCGAACGGAAAGGCCCUGCUUGCAGGGUACUCGAGUGGCGAACGGGUGAGUAACACGUGGGUGAUCUGCCCUGCACUUCGGGAUAAGCCUGGGAAACUGGGUCUAAUACCGGAUAGGAGCCAUUUUUAGUGUGAUGGUUGGAAAGUUUUUUCGGUGUAGGAUGAGCUCGCGGCCUAUCAGCUUGUUGGUGGGGUAAUGGCCUACCAAGGCGGCGACGGGUAGCCGGCCUGAGAGGGUGGACGGCCACAUUGGGACUGAGAUACGGCCCAGACUCCUACGGGAGGCAGCAGUGGGGAAUAUUGCACAAUGGGCGCAAGCCUGAUGCAGCGACGCCGCGUGGGGGAUGACGGCCUUCGGGUUGUAAACCUCUUUCAGCAGGGAAGAAGCGAAAGUGACGGUACCUGCAGAAGAAGCACCGGCUAACUACGUG